rnacentral:lncRNA from 1 species
AGAAGAUUUUACUCCAUAAUUAAGUUUGGAGUCAAAAAUGGAGUAGGGUUGGAGAUGCCCUAAGUGGGUGACGUGGAUAACUUGACACUCGUUAGUUUCUCGGUUAUUACAUUUUGAAAACAAAAGAAGAUUUUUUUUUAUUAACCUAAAAAGAGACAUGUCAGUGUAACGUUACCUCUGUAUUACUGUAUUCCAUGUGGUGUUAAGGAAUAUUCGAUCAUUUUUUCUUUGUAUUUAUAUUAAGGGAUAUGUAUCCCACAUUGGAAAAUCAAUGGGACAUUAAGUAAUAUAUAAAGGGUUAGGGCCAAUCCACUAAUUGCCAAUUGGUUUUGAGUUGGAAGCCCAUAAUAAACCCGAUUCUAACAUGGUAUCAGAACCCAGAUCCUAAUAAGUUAAACCCCUAAUUAAUAUUAACCCUAUCCGACCGGGUAUAUAGGUCGUAAUUGACUCGCUCGACCGAGUAUAACUGUCUUAAAAAAAAAAAAAAAAGUUUCCGAGAUUUCUGGCUGAUAAGAGCCAUCAUCUCGAGGAGGGGUAUUAAGGGAUAUGUAUCCCACAUUGGAAAAUCAAUGGGACAUUAAGUAAUAUAUAAAGGGUUAGGGCCAAUCCACUAAUUGCCAAUUGGUUUUGAGUUGGAAGCCCAUAAUAAACCCGAAUCUAACAUGGUAUACAUAUCCCUUAAUAAUUUAUGACCCACAUUUGGGUCCAAACGAUUGGAUGUUCAUCCUACGGUCCUACCUACAUGUCCACAAUAUAUACAAAAAAUACAUGGAUCAAACUGAUAACAUUUGUAUUUUACAAGGGUCAACAAGCUUACUCUUUAGAUUUCUGUGCAAGAAUACAUGUAAAUUUUUUCUUACAAAAUUUUACAUGCAUGGGUUAUUUGACCCACAUGCCACUAUGGUAGCUCCCCCACUAUCAGUCGUACUUGAAGUUCGUAAGUAACGUUAGCUGAAGUGUUUAAUUUUAAUCCAAAUGACGUGC